GUAGCAGUGAUGAGCAGCUAACACGUAAGAAUGUCCCAACUUUUGUAGUUGGGAUUUUCAAUGAAAUUCUCUUGUUACGCUUGGCUUCUGAGCUUU
rfam:Prunus persica cultivar Lovell chromosome G1, whole genome shotgun sequence.